CUAAAAAAAUUUUUUUUGGCCUACUUAACAAAAUACAAGCUCCCUUAAUCCAUGGGGGAAAAUGCACAAAAUAAAGGAUAAUUUUUUUUCUGCCUAGCGCUGACUAAUUAAUGUGUUGCAUGGUUUGAUGAAAUCUUUCUAAGAGUGCCAUUGCUCAUUAUAUUCAAUUCUGUUUCACACCAACAGCAAGGACUGUCUUUCUGAAGAUCCUCAUGUACUUAAAUGACUUUUCCCAAGAGAUUUGAAGGUACUCUAUAAUCUGUGCGCCCUCACGAAGAACUUAUUGAAGACUGACUAGCACUUUUCUUUGCUAUUGAAGAGUAAACAUUAUAAACAGAUCAGUGUGACACAGCUUUCAUUUUAGUCCUUCUGCCCAGUGUUCUGGUACUGGCCUCAGCCAAGAAUGUGCUAUCAGAGGUGUCCUGCCACGAAGGGAUAUGGAGGAACUGGCUUCAAGACAAUUACUGUGCCAUAUGAAGAGCACAUCCUUAGAGAACACUGUUAUAAAUAAAGAUGCUCUUGUGGUUGAGUGUUUUGGGUUAUACCUCUCCUUUACUCACAUUUAACAUUUAAU